rnacentral:rRNA from 1 species
GACAGAGGGUGCAAACGUUGUUCGGAAUUACUGGGCGUAAAGCGCGUGUAGGCGGCCAUGCAAGUCGGAUGUGAAAGCCCUCGGCUCAACCGGGGAAGUGCACUCGAAACUGCAAGGCUAGAGUCUCGGAGAGGAUCGUGGAAUUCUCGGUGUAGAGGUGAAAUUCGUAGAUAUCGAGAGGAACACCGGUGGCGAAGGCGGCGAUCUGGACGAUGACUGACGCUGAGGAGCGAAAGCAUGGGGAGCAAACAGG